AUCCAGCUGAUGAGUCCUAAAUAGGACGAGACGCGCGUCAAACUGGAU
rfam:Schistosoma mattheei strain Denwood, Zambia genome assembly, scaffold: SMTD_scaffold0009642